rnacentral:lncRNA from 1 species
AUGAUUGGAAUGAGCUUAUACCAAACUAAAAGGCAUUAUUGAAAUGGUAAUUUAUUUUCCACUUAAGCAUUUACUUACAAAUGCAAUUAAUGUGCAUUUCCAAGCUUAUAAUAAAAAAGCUUGUCAAUGCUAAAAGGCCAAAUUAAAAAACACAAAGCAUACACAAAUUAUUGUGCACAUAUGCUUAAUUAGAAUAUUGAUAAGAAACAUAAAAGGGAAACAAAUUAACAUUAAAUAACCAAAGAAAGUAAUUUGCAAUGGAGUUACAUGUCAAUCUUUCUUUUCUUCAACCUUUUCUUCUUUUUUUUCUUCAACCUUUUCUUCUUUCUUAGCUUCUUUCACUUCCUUGACUGCCUUCACCUUAGCCUUCCCUGCCUUUGGCUUCAUGAAACAAAAGCAUGAGCAGCAAGGACACUGGAACAAGAACUUCAUUUCCAAUCAAGUGCUCAGAUCUCAAUUUCUGAACAGAGAAUGAAAAUGUUCAGCUUUUCUGUCCUCUUUUUAUCUCCUUUCUUGCUUAAUAAUUUAUAUAUUUAAUUCUCUUUUGUCUUUUACUUUUUCCUCUAUUUUUUCUUAGUAUACAAUCAAUUAUGUAUUUAAAUGUGUAAG